rnacentral:misc_RNA from 1 species
ACAAACUUGGUCAUUUAGAGGAAGUAAAAGUCGUAACAAGGUUUCCGUAGGUGAACCUGCGGAAGGAUCAUUAUUGAAACAUUGUGAAGAAAGUUGUAGCUGGCUCUUCAAGGGCAUGUGCUCGCUUUCUUUCAAUCUUCAUCCACCUGUGCACUUUCUGUAGAGGGGGCUUUUAGAAAGGACGCAAGUCUUAGUAUUGAACCUCCUCUAUGUCUUAUAAACUCUUGAUGUAUGUCUUUGAAUGUCUUUUUAUAAGGGACUUUACUGGCCCUUUAAAAACAAUACAACUUUCAGCAACGGAUCUCUUGGCUCUCGCAUCGAUGAAGAACGCAGC